UGAAAUGGUAACUGUAUAAUGCUUUUCGUUUCAAAUUUCCUGUCAGUGGCUUUCUUAUUAUUUUAAGACUUAAUUGGCUUUUUAAUUUGCAUUUAUUUUGAAAGGUUGAAAUGUAAUUAAGGGGGGAAAAUAAGCAAAAAUAUUUAUAUUAUGCAAUAAAUGUGCAAAAAUGACUUGUGACAUAAAUCAUGAAGAUGAGAUGAAUUAUGAUUGUUUUUCUAGAAAAAAAUGUAGUCUCAGAAAAUGCAAAUAAAUCUGUAAUGAAAGGUUGAAAAGAGUUUUCUGACAUUCAGAAAGAUGCUGCGGCUGGUGCUUAUGAGAAGGGAGAGGAAACCAAAACCUUCAUAAACCUGCCGAUUAAUAAAUGCUCUGGUGGCACAUGACGUACUGCACAAGCCAUGCUGCUCUGCUUGCAUCCACAGAGUGGGAGUGCCCAAGGGUGUUCUACUCCUCCAUAACACCGAGAUGAUCAGAGUCCUGGCAGGGCAGCAGUCUGUCCAAGUGCCAGCAGAGAAGCUCCCACCUGACAGC
rnacentral:lncRNA from 1 species